rnacentral:rRNA from 1 species
UACGUAGGGAGCAAGCGUUGUCCGGAAUCAUUGGGCGUAAGGCGCGCGUAGGUGGCCUCAUAAGUCCGCUGUGAAAGUCAAAGGCUCAACCUUUGAAAGCCGGUGGAUACUGUGAGGCUAGAGUACGGAAGAGGCGAGUGGAAUUCCUGGUGUAGCGGUGGAAUGCGCAGAUAUCAGGAGGAACACCGGUGGCGAAGGCGGGUCUCUGGGCCGAUACUGACGCUGAGGAGCGAAAGCGUGGGGAGCGAACAGG